rnacentral:lncRNA from 11 species
GAAGUCUUAUAUUGUGAACCUACUGUUACUUACCAUUCUGACAAGAUAAGGUUGAGUUCAGAAGUUCGCUAAUUGUGUGAUGAAAGUGACCGGAGUUGUUUGUAUUGUCAAGUAAUGAAGUUUCUGUUAGCGGGAAGGAUUCAGGAGCUACACUAUCUGAAUCUACAAAGAUUGGAAAAAGUAUCAAAGAAGAGUCAUCGAAGCGAAUCAAUGAAAGCUUGUUUGAGGGUAACAAAACUCCAGUACCAUUACCUGUUUCAUCCAAAACAUUUGAGGGAGCCGCAUACGACACGAAGUGGUAAGUAGCGAAAAUCAUUGUU